UACGGGGGGGGGCAAGCGUUGUUCGGAAUUACUGGGCGUAAAGGGCUCGUAGGCGGCCAACUAAGUCAGACGUGAAAUCCCUCGGCUUAACCGGGGAACUGCGUCUGAUACUGGAUGGCUUGAGGUUGGGAGAGGGAUGCGGAAUUCCAGGUGUAGCGGUGAAAUGCGUAGAUAUCUGGAGGAACACCGGUGGCGAAGGCGGCAUCCUGGACCAACACUGA
rnacentral:rRNA from 1 species